rnacentral:rRNA from 1 species
CAGUAUCCGCGGGAAUACGUAGGUGGCAAGCGUUGUCCGGAAUUAUUGGGCGUAAAGGGCUCGCAGGCGGUUUCUUAAGUCUGAUGUGAAAGCCCCCGGCUCAACCGGGGAGGGUCAUUGGAAACUGGGAAACUUGAGUGCAGAAGAGGAGAGUGGAAUUCCACGUGUAGCGGUGAAAUGCGUAGAGAUGUGGAGGAACACCAGUGGCGAAGGCGACUCUCUGGUCUGUAACUGACGCUGAGGAGCGAAAGCGUAGGGAGCGAACAGGAUUAGAUACCCCAGUAGUCCCUGUCUCUUAUAC